UGCUUUAAUUUUUGCAGCGGUGGAGUGCGAGUACUAAACCUGAAAUGUAAACUGCAUCAGGAAGAUAAACGUUAAAAUUAGUGAAGGGAAGUUAAUGUUUGAAAUAAUGAAAAGUAGCUAAACCAGUUGAAUCUCUUUCUCCAAUUACUUCAUUGUCAAGAAGUUUGAUUUUUCCUUUUAUCCGGAUGAUGCAAACAAACUCUUCUGGGAUUACAGGGAAUCAGGUUUGAGAUUUCAGUCGCUGUUGUUUACACUGAAGUAGUUUUAGGAGCAGAAAUAUUAACAUCUCUGUCAACUUUAAGUUCUGGUGUAAUGCUGUUCAGUGAGAGAUGUGAAGUUAAGACAUGAAGAUGACGAGACACAUUAAAGAGAUGAAACUGAGAGAAAAUCUAACAGAAGAGAAGCUGAAAAAGAAACCAUUGAAAGAUGGAGAGGCGGUGGAGGACCGAGCUAAAUAUGUCUGUGACUUCAGUGAACAUUUAAAAGUGCUCCAGAAGAACAGCAUUGAUCAAUUUCAACCAAAUUUUUCUCUUAAUGCAGACAGAUCUGUGAAUCAUUCUGAUGACUGAAAGUUAAAGAUGAGAAAUCUGAGCUUCAUCUCAUCUAACUGUCAGAAAGUUCAUCAUGAAAGUUCAAUCACAGAUGUUCAUCUCUAAACAAGAUUUUCCUCUGAAAACGCUCAGAUUUAGUGAUUUAUGCUUACAUCUAUAUACUGUCUACAUGUCAUAUAUAGUGCUUAUAUAGUGUAAAACUCAUACUUACAUGCAGAGUUAAAGCUAAAGUUAAUGUGUUCAGUGUCAAAGUCUUUCAAUGUAAAAAUGUACACUUAUUUUAUUACAGUAUGUUAAUAUUAUUACUGUGAUUUUACUCUUACUGUGAACUUACAGAUAAUAUGCAAAAAGAUGAAACAUACUUAUUUUUAACAUUUGUCUUUGAGAAGGUGAUUAAUCCUUUAAUCCUGAUGUUGUAUACUGUAGGAGACAAACCCUUAAUAGUGUUCAAGGGCACAAUGAUGAAAUCUCAGUGUCUAUUAUUCAUUUCAAUGAAAAGAAAAGUACAGUAAGAUGUUGUGUAAGCUGAUAUAAGUGUCAAAGUCUAUUUAUGCUUCAUAUGUGGAGUAAUAAUCUAUUAGACUGUAUUCUGUUAAACCUGAAACUGUGAAUGUUGUGUAAAUCUGAUCAUCACACAUGAUGUAAAUGUCUUAACAAGCUUUGUUGUACAGUUUAGACUCUUUUACACUUCCAAUAAAAUAUUUCACUAGCAAAAUCAA